AGUAUAAUGCUUACUUUGGCAGCACAUAUACUACGUAUUACAACUGGAAAAACACAGAGAAGAUUAGCAUGGCCCCUGCGAAAGGAUGACAUGAAAAUUUGUGAAGUGUCCAUAUUUUUU
ensembl:snRNA U6 U6 spliceosomal RNA